rnacentral:rRNA from 1 species
CCUACGGGCGGCAGCAGUGAGGAAUAUUGGUCAAUGGACGCAAGUCUGAACCAGCCAUGCCGCGUGCAGGAAGACGGCUCUAUGAGUUGUAAACUGCUUUUGUACGAGGGUAAACGCAGAUACGCGUAUCUGUCUGAAAGUAUCGUACGAAUAAGGAUCGGCUAACUCCGUGCCAGCAGCCGCGGUAAUACGGAGGAUUCAAGCGUUAUCCGGAUUUAUUGGGGUUAAAGGGUGCGUAGGCGGUCGGAUAAGGUAGAGGGGAACUCCCGAGGCUCAACUUCGGAAUUGCCUCUGAUACGGUUCGGCUAGAGAGUAGUUGCGGUCGGCGGAAUG